AGAUUAUGAAAGCUAUAUGCGCUGUGAGAGAGCUUUGCGUCCCAUUAGCUAGUUGGAGAGGUAACGGCUCACCAAGGCGAUGAUGGGUAGCCGGCCUGAGAGGGUGAACGGCCACAAGGGGACUGAGACACGGCCCUUACUCCUACGGGAGGCAGCAGUGGGGAAUAUUGGACAAUGGACCAAAAGUCUGAUCCAGCAAUUCUGUGUGCACGAUGACGUUUUUCGGAAUGUAAAGUGCUUUCAGUUGGGAAGAAAAAAAUGACGGUACCAACAGAAGAAGUGACGGCUAAAUACGUGCCAGCAGCCGCGGUAAUACGUAUGUCACAAGCGUUAUCCGGAUUUAUUGGGCGUAAAGCGCGUCUAGGUGGUUAUGUAAGUCUGAUGUGAAAAUGCAGGGCUCAACUCUGUAUUGUCGUUGGAAACUGCAUGACUAGAGUACUGGAGAGGUAAGCGGAACUACAAGUGUAGAGGUGAAAUUCGUAGAUAUUUGUAGGAAUGCCGAUGGGGAAGCCAGCUUACUGGACAGAUACUGACGGUAAAGCGCGAAAGCGUGGGCAGCAAACAGGAUUAGAUACCCUGGUAGUCCACGCCGUAAACGAUGAUUACUAGGUGUUGGGCGGUCGAACCUCAGCGCCCAAGCUAACGCGAUAAGUAAUCCG
rnacentral:rRNA from 1 species